AGAGUUAGUUUAAGGUUAGAAUUGUUGACUGUUAAUCAAAAGGUACAUUCUCUUAA
rnacentral:tRNA from 1 species